CCUACGGGGGGCUGCAGUGGGGAAUAUUGGACAAUGGGCGAAAGCCUGAUCCAGCCAUGCCGCGUGUGUGAAGAAGGCCUUCGGGUUGUAAAGCACUUUCAGUGGGGAAGAAAGCCUUGGGGCUAAUACCCUCGAGGAAGGACAUCACCAACAGAAGAAGCACCGGCUAACUCCGUGCCAGCAGCCGCGGUAAUACGGAGGGUGCGAGCGUUAAUCGGAAUUACUGGGCGUAAAGCGCGCGUAGGCGGUCUGAUAAGCCGGUUGUGAAAGCCCCGGGCUCAACCUGGGAACGGCAUCCGGAACUGUCAGGCUAGAGUGCAGGAGAGGAAGGUAGAAUUCCCGGUGUAGCGGUGAAAUGCGUAGAGAUCGGGAGGAAUACCAGUGGCGAAGGCGGCCUUCUGGACUGACACUGACGCUGAGGUGCGAAAGCGUGGGUAGCAAACAGGAUUAGAUACCCUAGUAGUC
rnacentral:rRNA from 1 species